rnacentral:rRNA from 1 species
UACGUAGGUGGCAAGCGUUAUCCGGAAUUAUUGGGCGUAAAGAGCGCGCAGGUGGUUGAUUAAGUCUGAUGUGAAAGCCCACGGCUUAACCGUGGAGGGUCAUUGGAAACUGGGUCACUUGAAUAUAGAAGAGGAAAGUGGAAUUCCAUGUGUAGCGGUGAAAUGCGUAGAUAUAUGGAGGAACACCAGUGGCGAAGGCGACUUUCUGGACUUUAACUGACGCUGAGGAACGAAAGCGUGGGUAGCAAACAGGAUUAGAUACCCGGGUAGUCCCU